GCCUGCAGGAUAGCUCAGUGGGUAGAGCAUGGAUAGACUCUGAACCUCAGGGUCGUGGGUUGGAGCCCCAUGUUGGGCA